GGCGAACCGUGCGAACGUUAUUCGGAAUCACUGGGCUUAAAGGGAGCGUAGGCGGGCUAUCAAGUCUGGGGUGAAAUCCCACGGCUCAACCGUGGAACUGCCUCAGAUACUGAUGGCCUCGAGGGAGAUAGGGGCAUGCGGAACUGUAGGUGGAGCGGUGAAAUGCGUUGAUAUCUACAGGAACUCCGGUGGCGAAAGCGGCGUGCUGGAUCUCUUCUGACGCUGAGGCUCGAAAGCUAGGGGAGCAAACGGG
rnacentral:rRNA from 1 species